UGGGAAAACUUAAAGCUUCCACAGUGAGUG
rnacentral:piRNA from 1 species